rnacentral:rRNA from 1 species
GACGAACGCUGGCGGCGUGCUUAACACAUGCCAGUCGAACGGAAAGGCCCUGCUUUUGUUGGGUGCUCGAGUGGCGAACGGGUGAGUAACACGUGAGUAACCUGCCCUUGACUUUGGGAUAACUUCAGGAAACUGGGGCUAAUACCGGAUAGGAGCUCCUGCUGCCUGGUGGGGGUUGGAACGUUUCGGCGGUUGGGGAUGGACUGGCGGGUUAUCAGCUGGUUGGUGGGGUAGUGGCUUACCAAGGCUUUGACGGGUAGCCGGCCUCAGAGGGUGACCGGCUACAUUAGGACUGAGAUACGCACCAGACUCCUACGGGAGGCAGCAGUGGGGAAUAUUGCACAACGGGCGGAAGCCUGAUGCAGCAACGCCGCGUGCGGGAUGACGGCCUUCGGGUUGUAAACCGCUUUCGCCUGUGACGAAGCGUGAGUGACGGUAAUGGGUAAAGAAGCACCGGCUAACUACGUG